CAUUAAUAUGGUAGUAUACUUGUGUCGAAAUUUGCCCAAUGCCAUUAAUAUAAAAGCGGUCAUGGGAAACUGUGACUAAUUGAAAAUCUGGUUAAUAGCGGUCUUAACCAUGAGGAUCCUAAGGUAGCAAAAUAAAUUGGCCAUUAAAUGUGGUCCGGUAUCAAUAAUGUAACGAUGGCCUCACUGUCUCUACAACUUGCUCAGUGAAAUUGAAUUACGCGUGCAGAUGCGCGUUACCUCCAGUGGGACGGGAAGACCCUAUGCAUCUUCUACUGA
rnacentral:rRNA from 1 species